AAACAGCCCUGAUGGUAGCGGUAUCCUUUUGUGGAUUUCGUUUUUUACGAGAGGAGCAAAAGAUUUAGCGUACAGCAGGAAUAAGG
rnacentral:sRNA from 1 species